GAUGAAGAACGCAGCGAAAUGCGAUAAGUAGUGUGAAUUGCAGAAUUCAGUGAAUCAUCGAAUCUUUGAACGCACAUUGCGCCCUUUGGUAUUCCUUAGGGCAUGCCUGUUCGAGCGUCAUUUAAACCUUCAAGCUCAGCUUGGUGUUGGGUGUCUGUCCCGCCCCCCUCGGGGGCGCGGACUCGCCUCAAAUGCAUUGGCGGCCGGUAUCUUGGCUUCGAGCGCAGCAGAAACGCGAACUCGGUGCCCGGGGGUCGGCUCCCAGAAGCCAUCUUCUUAGUUUGACCUCGGAUCAGGUAGGGAUACCCGCUGAACUUAAGCAUAUCAAUAAGCGGAGGA
rnacentral:misc_RNA from 1 species